UAGUGGCGAACGGGUGAGUAACACGUGGGCAAUCUGCCCUUCACUCUGGGACAAGCCCUGGAAACGGGGUCUAAUACCGGAUAUCACUCCUGCAGGCAUCUGCGGGAGUUGAAAGCUCCGGCGGUGAAGGAUGAGCCCGCGGCCUAUCAGCUUGUUGGUGAGGUAAUGGCUCACCAAGGCGACGACGGGUAGCCGGCCUGAGAGGGCGACCGGCCACACUGGGACUGAGACACGGCCCAGACUCCUACGGGAGGCAGCAGUGGGGAAUAUUGCACAAUGGGCGAAAGCCUGAUGCAGCGACGCCGCGUGAGGGAUGACGGCCUUCGGGUUGUAAACCUCUUUCAGCAGGGAAGAAGCGAAAGUGACGGUACCUGCAGAAGAAGCGCCGGCUAACUACGUGCCAGCAGCCGCGGUAAUACGUAGGGCGCAAGCGUUGUCCGGAAUUAUUGGGCGUAAAGAGCUCGUAGGCGGCUUGUCACGUCGGGUGUGAAAGCCCGGGGCUUAACCCCCGGGUCUGCAUUCGAUACGGGCUAGCUAGAGUGUGGUAGGGGAGAUCGGAAUUCCU
rnacentral:rRNA from 2 species